rnacentral:rRNA from 1 species
AACGUAGGAGACGAACGUUAUCCGGAGUUACUGGGCGUAAAGGGCGUGUAGGCGGUUUGUUAAGUCUGGCGUGAAAGCUCUCGGCUAAACCGGGAGAGGUCGUUGGAUACUGGCGAACUAGAGGAUGGUAGAGGCGUGUGGAAUUCCAGGUGUAGCGGUGAAAUGCGUAGAUAUCUGGAGGAACACCGGUGGCGAAGGCGGCGUUCUGGACUGCAACUGACACUGAGGAGCGAAAGCGUGGGGAGCGAACAGG